AUAGUACUCCCUCCGUUCCGAAUUACUUGUCUUGGAUUUGUCUAGAUACGGAUGUAUCUAGACUCAUUUUAGUGCUAGAUACCUCCGUAUCUAGACAAAUCUAAGACAAGUAAUUCAGAACGGAGGGAGUAGAUG
rnacentral:pre_miRNA from 1 species